rnacentral:rRNA from 1 species
CUAGAGAUAGAGCCUCCCCCUUCGGGGGACAAAGUGACAGGUGGUGCAUGGUUGUCGUCAGCUCGUGUCGUGAGAUGUUGGGUUAAGUCCCGCAACGAGCGCAACCCUUAAGCUUAGUUGCCAGCAUUAAGUUGGGCACUCUAAGUUGACUGCCGGUGACAAACCGGAGGAAGGUGGGGAUGACGUCAAAUCAUCAUGCCCCUUAUGAUUUGGGCCACACACGUGCUACAAUGGACAAUACAAAGGGCAGCUAAACCGCGAGGUCAUGCAAAUCCCAUAAAGUUGUUCUCAGUUCGGAUUGUAGUCUGCAACUCGACUACAUGAAGCUGGAAUCGCUAGUAAUCGUGGAUCAGCAUGCUACGGUGAAUACGUUCCCGGGUCUUGUACACACCGCCCGUCACACCACGAGAGUUUGUAACACCCGAAGCCGGUGGAGUAACCAUUUAUGGAGCUAGCCGUCGAAGGUGGGACAAAUGAUUGGGGUGAAGUCGUAACAAGGUAGCCGUAUCGGA